GGGUGGCACAAUUAUGUUCUUGGUUGCACAACUGUUGUGCUAGGUUAUGUCUACUGAGGCUGGUUCUACCAUUGGGCAAAUGGAGGCGACCUUUUCUCAGGCAGCUGUAUGGAGUGAUGUUUGUUGUUGUUGUUGUUUAGUCGUUUAGUCGUGUCCGACUCUUCGUGACCCCACGGACCAGAGCACGCCAGGCACUCCUGUCUUCCACUGCCUCCCGCAGUUUGGUCAAACCCAUGCUGGUAGCUUCGAGAACACUAUCCAACCAUCUCGUCCUCUCUCGUCCCCUUCUCCUUGUGCCCUCAAUCUUCCCCAACAUCAGGGUCUUUUCCAGGGAGUCUUCUCUUCUCAUGAGGUUGCCAAAGUACUGGAGCCUCAGCUUCACGAUCUGUCCUUCCAGUGAGCACUCAGGGCUGAUUUCCUUCAGAAUGGAUAGGUUUGAUCUUCUUGCAGUCCAUGGGACUCUCAAGAGUCUCCUCCAGCGCCAUAAUUCAAAAGCAUCAAUUCUUCGGCAAUCAGCCUUCUUUAUGGUCCAGCUCUCACUUCCAUACAUCGCUACUGGGAAAGCCAUAGCUUUUACUAUACGGACCUUUGUUGGCAAGGUGAUGUCUCUGCUUUUUAAGAUGCUGUCUAGGUUUGUCAUUGUUUUUCUCCCAAGAAGCAGGUGUCUUUUAAUUUCGUGGCUGCUGUCACCAUCUGCAGUGAUCGUGGAGCCCAAGAAAGUAAAAUCUCUCACUGCCUCCAUUUCUUCCCCUUCUAUUUGCCAGGAGGUGAUGGGACCAGUGGCCAUGAUCUUCGUUUUUUUGAUGUUGAGCUUCAGACCAUAUUUUGCACUUUCCUCUUUCACCCUCAUUAAAAGGUUCUUUAAUGUCUCCUCACUUUCUGCCACCAAGGUUGUGUCAUCUGCAUAUCUGAGGUUGUUGAUAUUUCUUCCGGCAAUCUUAAUUCUGCCUAGGGAUUCAUCCAGCCCAGCCUUUCGCAUUAUGAAUUCUGCAUAUAAGUUAAAUAAGCAGGAGACAAUAUGCAGCCUUGUCGUCCUCCUUUCCCAAUUUUGAACCAACCAGUUGCUCCAUAUCCAGUUCUAACUGUAGCUUCUUGUCCCACACAGAGAUUUCUCAGGAGACAGAUGAGGUGAUCAGCCACUCCCAUUUCUUAAAGAACUUGCCAUAGUUUGCUGUGGUCGACACAGUCAAAGGCUUUUGCAUAGUCAAUGAAGCGGAAGUAGAUGUCUUUCUGGAACUCUCUAGCUUUCUACAUAAUCCAGUGCAUGUUUGCAAUUUGGUCUCUGGUUCCUCUGCCUCUUCUAAAUCCAGCUUGCACUUCUGGGAGUUCUCGGUCCACAUACUGCUUGAGCCUUCCUUGUAGAAUUUUAAGCAUAACCUUGCUAGCGUGUGAAAUGAGUGCAAUUGUGCGGUAGUUGGAGCAUUCUUUGGCACUGACCUUCUUUGGGAUUGGGAUGUAGACUGAUCUUCUCCAAUCCUCUGGCCACUGCUGAGUUUUCCAAAUUUGCUGGCAUAUUGAGUGUAGCACCUUAACGGCAUCAUCUUUUAAAAUUUUAAAUAGUUCAGCUGAAAUACUAUCACUUCCACUGGCCUUGUUAUUAGCAGUGCUUUCUAAGGCCCAUUUGACUUCAUUCUCCUGGAUGUCUGACUCAAGGUCAGCAACCACACUACCUGGGGUGUACGAGCCAUCCAUAUCUUUCUGGCAUAAUUCUUCCGUGUAUUCUUGCCACCUCUUCUUGAUGUCUUCUGCUUCUGUUAGGUCCUUACCACUUUUGUCCUUUAUUGUGGUAAUCUUUGUACGAAAUGUUCCUUUCAUAUCUCCAAUUUUCUUGAACAGAUCUCUGGUUCUUCCCAUUCUGCUGUUUUCCUCUAUUUCUUUGCAUUGCUUGUUUAAGAAGGCCUUCUUGUCUCUCCUUGCUAUUUUUGGAAAUCUGCAUUCAAUUUCCUGUAUCUUUCACUGUCUCCCUCGCAUUUUGCUUGCCUUCUCUCCCCGCUAUUUGUAAGGCCUCGUUAGACAGCCACUUUGCUUUCUUGCAUUUCCUUUUCAUUGGGAUGGUUUUAGCUGCUGCCUCCUGUAUAAUGUUAUGAGCCUCCAUCCAUAGUUCUUCAGGCACUCUGCCCACCAAAUCUAAAUCCUUAAACCUGUUUAAGUGAUGUUUAAGGCACAUCAAAGGGUUUUUAUUGCUAUUGCAUUUUUACGGUCACAUUAUGCAUUUUGUGUUUUUAUGUUGUAAAGUGGCCUGUGAUAGUCAGCUGAAGGGCGGUACAUAAAUUUAAUAAAGAACAAAAAAUAAAUAAUUAUUUUAUGAAGAAGCCUCUCCCCAAGUAUUUUUGUAUAAAACAUCAGCUGAUGAGCACUGUUGAAAUCUGUAAUGCCUUUAAAGUUUAUUUUCAGAUGCAGCAUCAAUGGGAAGAGAAAAUCAAACAGUGGUGACAGAAUUUAUCCUUGCUGGAUUUUCUAAUUUCCCAGACCUGAAGAUUCCGUUGUUUCUGGUGUUCUCUCUAAUCUACCUGGUAACUUUGAUAGCAAAUAUAAUCAUCAUCACUACAAUACGGCUUAACCGCAGCCUCCACAUCCCCAUGUACUUCUUCCUCUCCAUCCUCUCCUUUUCAGAAAUCUGCUACUCACUUGUCAUUAUCCCCAAUAUGCUUGCAAAUCUUCUAAGAGAAAAGAAGACCAUUUCCUUCAUUGGCUGUGCUACUCAGAUGUGCAUUUUCCUGGGCUUGGCAGGCACAAAUUGUAUGCUUCUAGCAGUGAUGGGGUAUGACCGAUAUGUCUCCAUAUGCAAACCUUUACGUUAUCAGAUUUUGAUGAAUCAAAGACUCUGCACCAAGCUGGUGGCUUGUUCAAUAUCACUUGCAUUUAUUUUUUCUAUAUCAGAGACUAUUAUCAUAUUUACCUUGCCUUUCUGUGGACCAAAUAAAGUUAAGCACUUCUUUUGCGAUUUAGCACCUUUGCUUGAAUUAGCCUGCGGCCGAAACUACAUAGGUGAAAUUGUCAUUUUCAUUAUUUGUGUUUUGGUUGUGAUUUCUUCAUUCUUGUUCAUCCUUCUCUCGUACAUUUUAAUUGCAAACACUGUCUUGAAAAUCCCCACAACGGCUGGGAAACGAAAAGCCUUUUCCACUUGUGCCUCCCAUCUUAUCGUGGUCGUGGUGCACUUUGGGUGUGCUGGCAUUAUCUAUUUAGGGCCCAAAUCCAGUUACACACUAGAUGAGACUACUUUUAUUUCCGUCUCUUACAAUGGUGACUCCCUUGUUGAACCCCUUGGUGUACAGCCUGAGAAACAAAGAUGUCCAAACAGCGCUUAAGAAAUCACUUGGCAAAAGCUCUUGCACCCAAAGAAUGUGAAAAUUAAGCGUUAUCCACUUUGAAGAGGAAUUAUGAAACCCAACAAAUACUGUAUCUGUUGUUUAAUGGACAAAAAACGCCUCAAAUAGUAUUGUAGCCUUUUCUCAUCUUUUUAAAAAUUCAUUUGUAUGUGGAAUAUUCAUUUGGAAAAAUGUGGCCUUGCUUUAGCAUUUACAAACAACUUUGAUUUUCUCUUUAGUAAAUCACUGGAAAAUAAAUUGGGUUGUGGGAAUUUUCUCAUAAAUGAACCUGUAAUCAUUCAGCCCUGCAACAAAGGAAACUUUUCUAAAGAUUAUUGUUGUUUUCUCCCAAAUCCUUGCCCACAUUUUCUCUACCAAUCAUUCACGCAGAACUAUUUCAAGCUCAUAUAGUGCUGAGACUGAAGUUUCAAAAUUGUUCUUGUUGAAUGGCUGGUACCCGUAUACAGUGGUACCUCGGGUUACAUACGCUUCAGGUUACAGACGCUUCAGGUUACAGACUCCGCUGAUCCAGAAAUAGUACCCCGGGUUAAGAACUUUGCUUCAGGAUGAGGACUGAAUCGCGUGGCAGCGGCGCGGCAGCCCUAUUUGCUAAAGUGGUGCUUCAGGAUAAGAACAGUUUCAGGUUAAGAACCGACCUCCGGAACGAAUUAAGUACUGUAUUUUUCGCUCUAUAAGACACACCAGACCAUAAGACGCACCUAGUUUUUGGAGGAGGAAAACAAGAAAAAAAAUAUUCCGAAUCCCAGAAGCCAGGACAGCAAGUGGGAUCACAGCUUGCUGUCCUGGCUUAUGGGAUAGCAGCGCGCAGCUUCUCCUGGGCAGCGGCAUGAAUUCUCCCCCUGCCCAGGUCCCUGGCUGGUACCUGUAUAUUUCUUUUGGGGUCAGUUUGGGGUACGUAUCUGUUUAUCUUUGUGGAUGUGGCUUUUUCUGCCCUUCCUUGUCCCCUGUGAUGGUAUUUUUUAAGGAGGCAAUCUGCUUUUUCAUCAUCAUCAAACCUUUUACUGACAUCACAUACAAACAUUCAUAGCUAAUCAAUACAGAAUUCCCGCCAUCCCAGUGACACAAAACAUUUGGAGUCUGCUUUUUCAAUGUUGGAAUUCUUGUAACCAAACACACUUAAUUUCUGCUCUUUUGCUUUCAUGUGAUUUGUUCUGACAUUUGCUUUUUGUACAGUGUUGGCAAGAAUGUAAUAAUAUAUUGUACACAAAAUGGAGUAUUGCUAUUUUUCAAUAUGCAUUUAUUUUAGCAUUCAUAUAUAUAUAUAUAUAUAUAUAUAUAUAAAAUGGAUAAGUAAUUUGCAGUGCUAUCAUGUCUGAGUGGUCCCCUCACCCCCUGAUUUUCUUGCACUGGACCACAUGAGGUUGUUCCGUGGUGAUUUCCCGCCUCCCACCAGUAGGAAUAACGACACGUGACACAAAUAUUUAGGUUAAUGGGCUAAAAUAGGGCACAAGUUUUUUGGUUACAGGUAAAGAGCGGUAUUGGCUUAGGCAUUGGUCCUAUCUGACUAUCCGGCUUCAGCCUGUUUGCUUGAAGACCGGGAAGGGUUAACACCAGUGGGGGAGCCCUGCUGAUGCACAUCAACUAGGGACUCCCCCGGGAUCACCGCUCGGGGGGGCGCUUUAGGCCCUGACCUCCAUAGGCUUCAGACGAGGCCACACUCCCCGGAAUACUUUACCGGACUACCCUUCAAAAUUUGGGGGAGGUGAUGGCGCUCCCCCCCCCCCGCAACACAUCUACAUAACAAUACCCCUACCAAUGCCUAACCGCCAAAACCAAAGAAGUUGUGACGAGAGGGAGAUCCCGGGCUGUGCUUGCCUUAAAUGAGGCAAGCCACACCCCCUGAGCCAGCCAAUUGGCUGGCCAUGGGAUGACGCAGCCCAAGGAUUCCCCUGAUCGCGCGGGGCUGGAAGCCAGCCUUCGCACGCGUGUUGGGGCGUGAGCGCGCACCACCACCUCCUCCUGAGGUCGGAAGUGGCUUUGUCCUUCAGUUAGUAUUCCAGAACAAUGUAGCUGCCAGGCUGAUUUUCCUUCUCUCAAAAAUAUGAAAUAUCUGAAGAAAGGUCCAACCUGAUUCAGUAGUGUGGAAGAGGGUUGGCUGCAACUCUACUGUGUGGUGUGGUUGGGAGGGUAUGGUCUGAAUGGUGUCCAUUCUUCAGCACCUUUUCCUCACUUCAGUCUGAGCAGAGCAAGCAAGUUGUUAUCUGGGGAGAAUGGGAAUGGCAGGCAGUAUUGAAAGAAGUUACUGGAUUAAUUGGUGUGUGUGUUUGUGUCUUUGUGUGUCAAGGAGGACUUCCCCUGUACGCGAAGACAGGCUCUGGUGGAUUGAGCUGAUGAGACCAAUAGUGGCUUCAAUAGCCAAGAAGGCAGUUUCUGCCAGAGGAGUCUAUAGCUGGAAGUGUGAGGGCCUGGGCCUUGCCCCCUAGGCCAGCUGGUAAAGGCUUUGUAAGGAGCAGGCCUUGCACUCCUCACCACAGCCAACGGUGACCCUUGGGUCCUUUUCAACUCUAAGAUUCUAUGGUUCCAACAACAACAAUGGGAAAAAGAACCAUUCAUGCAAUGCUGCUCAAAACGUAGAUGCCCAAGACAGUUGUUUACCAUAUAAUAUCAACUGUGAGUGACAAAACUUCUCCAUAUGUUUAUUUGGGCUAUGGGACAGUUGAUGCUUGUUUGGCUCAGCAUUGCCAAAGGAUAGAAAGAGCUACCAAAUGGAAUAGAAACAGCCUGUUUUCGUCUCCCUGCCGCUAAGCCCUCUCUGACAUGUUAGAUGUUCAGAAAGCGCAAUGUCCCAUAACUUUCCUUAACCAAUGAUCACGGGAUGGGGAUCUGGAUUUCCAGUGACUAGCAAUGGAGAUUUUAGCUGCUGCUUAGAACAUAAAUACAAGAGGAUAGUGGUCAAUGGUUGGGUUGUAUUGCUUUCUAGAAAGUAAUGCCAAAUCUGGAUCCAUUGCCAAGGGUUGACCCACAAUAAUUGGAAUUAGAUUGAACACCUGGGUCCAGAAGUCAUUGAGAAUGCAGAUACUGCCAUGAAAUUAUUUAGUACCCUCUGCAAAGGAAAAGGGGCUUAGCUUGGAUUGUGGAGCAUCAGUAAUAUAUAAUCUGUGAAAAUAGUCAGUUUACGCUCAUCUCCUUGAACCCUGAUGUCUUCAGUACCCUUGUGAGAUGUUAGAUUUCAUGAGAUGGAACUUUCCCUGCCUUUUUGACGAUGGGUGUGGCUUACCCCAGAGCCAUUUGUCCUGUACGCUAUUUUCAUCUAUUAAACAAUAUUCACAAACCACUUAAUCAGAAAGACCGAAACAAUCUGUAAUAUGCAUCAUGAUAAAAGAUAAAAUGGAAAACAAGUAGGCAUAAUAAAAUGUAGCGAUAUAGAGAUGAAGUAAAGAUUUUUAGGAAAAAAUGCACCCAAUAAAAUUACAUGUAUUGUUAAUAAUUUCUUGUAGAUUUUAACAACUCCCAUUGAUAAUAAAAUGGUUGGUUUAUUUUAUGUUUUGCCACUUUAAAGGGAAAUAAGAAAAAUUUCAAAGCCCCUGACUCUUUUUUAUCUUGGGAACAAGAUUCAUACUCAAUGGGAGAUUUACUACUUUUCAUGCAGAAGGCCCCAGAUCCAAUAUUUUUCCAAAAGGGUAUGAGGUAGCUUAGCAGGACUGGUGAAGACAUCAACCUGAGUCCCUGGAGAGGUGCUACAAUUUGGAAUAGACACCAAAUGUAUGACUCUUUAAAAGGCAGCUUAAGACAGGCAUGCUCCUCAAUAAAAUAUUCUAGUGGUGUUCAGAGUUAUGCCUUGUGAAGCUGUUAAUUUUUCAAUUGACAGGAAGAUUGUGAAGCCUCAAACUCUUCAGCUCACUUGCCUCUGUGCUCCUUCCUCAGUUUGUGGGCUGUAGCCAGACAUUCAUUCACAGUGGAAUUACAUCAAUUAAAAGAAUACAGAAUUUUAAUCUAUGGUGAUGAACUAUGCCAAGAUGUUGUUUGAUUGCUAAAAUUUUAGUUCGAUGGAAAAUGCAGUUUUGUAAACAGGCUCUAAUGCCUCACUAACUUGGGGGCAGACAUUCCCAGGAUUCCUUGAAAGGGAGAUAUCAGACAUUCAACUCUGCAGUGUAGACUUAUUGGUCAAGUCAAUGUAAUAAUACGUCUAUAGGGUGGCACAAUUAUGUUCUUGGUUGCACAACUGUUGUGCUAGGUUAUGUCUACUGAGGCUGGUUCUACCAUUGGGCAAAUGGAGGCGACCUUUUCUCAGGCAGCUGUAUGGAGUGAUGUUUGUUGUUGUUGUUGUUUAGUCGUUUAGUCGUGUCCGACUCUUCGUGACCCCACGGACCAGAGCACGCCAGGCACUCCUGUCUUCCACUGCCUCCCGCAGUUUGGUCAAACCCAUGCUGGUAGCUUCGAGAACACUAUCCAACCAUCUCGUCCUCUCUCGUCCCCUUCUCCUUGUGCCCUCAAUCUUCCCCAACAUCAGGGUCUUUUCCAGGGAGUCUUCUCUUCUCAUGAGGUUGCCAAAGUACUGGAGCCUCAGCUUCACGAUCUGUCCUUCCAGUGAGCACUCAGGGCUGAUUUCCUUCAGAAUGGAUAGGUUUGAUCUUCUUGCAGUCCAUGGGACUCUCAAGAGUCUCCUCCAGCGCCAUAAUUCAAAAGCAUCAAUUCUUCGGCAAUCAGCCUUCUUUAUGGUCCAGCUCUCACUUCCAUACAUCGCUACUGGGAAAGCCAUAGCUUUUACUAUACGGACCUUUGUUGGCAAGGUGAUGUCUCUGCUUUUUAAGAUGCUGUCUAGGUUUGUCAUUGUUUUUCUCCCAAGAAGCAGGUGUCUUUUAAUUUCGUGGCUGCUGUCACCAUCUGCAGUGAUCGUGGAGCCCAAGAAAGUAAAAUCUCUCACUGCCUCCAUUUCUUCCCCUUCUAUUUGCCAGGAGGUGAUGGGACCAGUGGCCAUGAUCUUCGUUUUUUUGAUGUUGAGCUUCAGACCAUAUUUUGCACUUUCCUCUUUCACCCUCAUUAAAAGGUUCUUUAAUGUCUCCUCACUUUCUGCCACCAAGGUUGUGUCAUCUGCAUAUCUGAGGUUGUUGAUAUUUCUUCCGGCAAUCUUAAUUCUGCCUAGGGAUUCAUCCAGCCCAGCCUUUCGCAUUAUGAAUUCUGCAUAUAAGUUAAAUAAGCAGGGAGACAAUAUGCAGCCUUGUCGUCCUCCUUUCCCAAUUUUGAACCAACCAGUUGCUCCAUAUCCAGUUCUAACUGUAGCUUCUUGUCCCACACAGAGAUUUCUCAGGAGACAGAUGAGGUGAUCAGCCACUCCCAUUUCUUAAAGAACUUGCCAUAGUUUGCUGUGGUCGACACAGUCAAAGGCUUUUGCAUAGUCAAUGAAGCGGAAG